GACUUUAUAGUGUAGCGGUCUGCACUCUCGGCAUGUAAUCGAGAGGUCCGUGGUUCAAGUCCUGGCAAAGGCG
rnacentral:tRNA from 1 species